ACUUAAGUAGCUUAAAUUAAGAGCAGGAUAUUGAAGAUAUCCCGGUGAUUUUAAAUCUUUAGGUA
rnacentral:tRNA from 1 species